UGGCCCACAUGAAGAACCGGGUAGCACGGAUGACAUCUCGGUAGAGACUUAGAGCCUCACGGCGGCUGCUAGUGAGUCGCUGUCUAUUGAGGAGCUCGUUCUCAUCAUCAUCAAGGCUCUUCUCCUUUUUGACCACAUGUCUAUCCAAUAAUUCCUCCAUAGUGUCUGGACCAUGGUGCAGAAAACGAUAGUGAUGCAAGAGACAUCUUGACUUGAAACUAUGGCUCAUAGCAGUUGAAAGAUUUCGGAAUUUUUGG
rnacentral:misc_RNA from 1 species